rnacentral:lncRNA from 10 species
GUUAGCCCUGGAGGCUGAAGAAACACUGAUCUCAGGGGUCUUGGGGACAGCUGGUCAUAAGUCCACCUCACUGAAUUCAGCACUACCCUUUCUGGGCCUCUCUCCAGCAAAGGGUUCUGCUAGGGGUUGGGAGGAAACCCUGAAGGAGCGGGGGCAGCUUGGCCAGCUCUCCUGCGCCCUGGCCAGUCAACUCACUUCCCUGCCUAAACUCUGCAGAUUCCGCCACAACGAUGAAGGGGAUUUCCCAGAGUGUGGGCCGCUGAAGAUUCCAGGUUGUUCUGGGACCCUGCAUUAACACCACUAACUCACGCUAGGAAGGCUUCUGACUGACCUUCGGACUGGCGUCCUUAUAGAGAUUAAGACACAGACUCACACGGAGGGAAGGCCAUGUGAAGAUGGGGAGAAAACAGCCAUCUACAAGCCAAGGAGCAGAGGCCUCAGAAGAAACCAACCCUGCCAGCACCCUGAUCUCAGACUCCCAGCCUUCAGAACUGUGAUUAUGCUUUGUUAUGACGGCCCUGGGAAACAAAUACAGCCCCUGAGGGGCUGUGAGGCACCAGUCUUCUCUUGUUAGGAACAAUGGACAUGAAAGCCAGCUCCCAACAAUGUUAAAGUGUUAUGUUAAGUCCAGCACAUCUAAUAUAUCCCGUAUUUUGAACAAUAAAGAAACAAGUUUCAUUAAUGGCAUCUUCCUGGACCUGCUGAAUAAAUGAUGAACAAUAUUUCAAGAGCACCA